rnacentral:lncRNA from 1 species
AAAGCUCUGUUUAGGGUUUAAAACCCUAAUGCUGGCUGAAAGGAAAAAGUUCAGUUUAGGUUUUAAAACCCUAAUGCUGACUAAAAGGAGAAUUCGGUUUAGGGUUUAAAACCCUAAUGCUGACUAAAAGGGAAAGUUCAGUUUAGGGUUUAAAACCCUAAUGCUGACUGGAAGGAAAAGUUCAGUUUAGGGUUUAAAACCCUAAUGCUGACUAAAAGGAAAAUUCAGUUUAGGGUUUAAAAUCCAAAUGCUAACUAAAAGGAAAAUUCAGUUUAGGGUUUAAAACCCUAAUGCUGAUUACAUGGAAAAGCUCAGUUUAGGGUUUUAAAACCAUAAUGCUGACUGAAAGAAAAAGUUCAGUUUAGGGUUUAAAACCCUAAUGCUGAUUACAUGGAAAAGCUCAAUUUAGGGUUUAAAACCCUAAUGAUGACUAAAAGGUAAAUUCAGUUUAGGGUUUAAAACCCUAAUGCUAACUAAAAGGAAAAUUCAGUUUAGGGUUUAAAACCCUAAUGCUGAUUACAUGGAAAAGCUCAGUUUAGGGUUUAAAACCCUGAUGCUGGCUGAAUGGAAAAAGAUCAGU